rnacentral:rRNA from 1 species
GCUUACGGCACACCGGCCUGAGUACGCCUGAUCUCGUCCGAUUCGGAAGCUAAGCAGGUCGGGCCUGGUUUAGUACUUGGAUGGAGACCGCCUGGGAAUACCAGGUGCUGUAAGCU